GACGAACGCUGGCGGCGUGCUUAACACAUGCAAGUCGAGCGGUAAGGCCCUUUCGGGGGUACACGAGCGGCGAACGGGUGAGUAACACGUGGGUGACCUGCCCUCAGCUCUGGGAUAAGCCUGGGAAACCGGGUCUAAUACUGGAUAUGACUCCAUGACGCAUGUUGGUGGGGUGGAAAGCCUUGUGCGGCUGAGGAUGGGCCCGCGGCCUAUCAGCUUGUUGGUGGGGUGANGGCCUACCAAGGCGACGACGGGUAGCCGGCCUGAGAGGGCGACCGGCCACACUGGGACUGAGACACGGCCCAGACUCCGUACGGGAGGCAGCAGUGGGGAAUCUUGCGCAAUGGGCGAAAGCCUGACGCAGCGACGCCGCGUGAGGGAUGACGGCCU
rnacentral:rRNA from 1 species